GUCAGGAUGGCCGAGCGGUCUAAGGCGCUGCGUUCAGGUCGCAGUCCAGUUCUAUGGGCGAGGGUUCGAUUCCCUCUUCUGACA
rnacentral:tRNA from 1 species